ACUAUUGGACGCGCUUGAUUAAAGAGAUACUAAAGAGUCCUGGCAUCAACUGAGACAGAUAACAGCUCUGCUUUUGACCCUUGUUCAUCCUUUCAACUUGAACAACCGAGGCAAUAAACACUGCUUUACAGACGAGGACACUGAUAAGUUAUGUUCACCCUUGUCAGUAAAGCAGCGUUCAAACUCCUGUCGCUGGAAGGUAAGGAGGAAGUGAACGGCUACAUUGUUGAAGCACCCUGCUAGUAAGCAGCACUCUACUCACGUGACUGUGGCUGGUGAAAAAGAAAUGGAAAUCACAUGGGUCUUCCUCAUUAGCAUUGGGAAGGCUGUUGUUACCAGUCCAUCUGUCUCACAUGGUCACUGGUUUGAUCAACAGAGGAGCUGCAUGGCGUACUGUUGCAGACACAAGUGUGUUCCUGCAAUCCUCUAUCAGUGAAGUGAACCAGGCAGCUCCCAGGGCUCUGCCUCUUAAUGCUGUCCUGAACAGGUCUUUUGAAAGGUGCCACCAGCUGGUAGCUGGCUAUCAUGAUUGUGUUGCAAGAUUUUCUGUACUCCAGCACAGUUGUUUAGACAGCAGGAUGAGAUGACGGGGGCACAUCAUAAACAAACAGGUUAUUCAAGUGUCUCUCCUGCUGCUCUCUAUCAUAGCAGCCACCAGCCUCGACACUGCUCCUGGUCCUGCGUGCCUCUGUCCACGGGCCCAGAGGAAGAGCAUGUCCAGCACCAAGGCUCCCAGGUUGUCCCUGGUCAGGAGAGCAGAAUAUACACAAGAAAUUUUACAUCAGCUGAACUGAACAUUAACAAACAUACUAUAUGAAAUUUGCAAACAGUCUAUUCGUGUGUUAGUAUUAUAUUCUCCAUGCAGUUGGAAGAUAAACCAUGUAUACAUUAUAGAUAAGUAUUAAUCAAAUCUUGGAGCUUAAGCUAUGCACCACUUGUUUCCAAAGGAAAACGUUUAUUGGACAACUUCCAUAUAAUACACAAAACAUUAAAAUGGCAUGUUAUGACUUCUUAUUAAACAGGAAACCAUGUAUGUAUACUUUUACGUAAUGAAUUUUUCUUCCACCUCCCUGUGUCAUGACAGGUUUUGUGAGCCUGACUACUGAGUGUGUGUCUGUGUGUGUGUGUGGGGGGGAGCAUCAGUCUGUGUGUAAUCUCCUGCAGUGUCCCAGAUGGCUUAGUGAUGGCUGUGCAGAUUAAAACAAUCAAAAUUCUC